CGCUCAACGGUGAGCGGAACACAACGCGCCGCGCGCACACACAGGAAAUUGCAAACAACUGGCUCUGUGGAGGCUGACGGGAAGCCCGGGUUGAGCGCCUUUGAUUCCCUUUGUGGGGACUCCAUUCACGGGAGAGAGGAUCCAUCAAAUCCCCUCACCGCUACGUUGUAUGGACAUUUUUUAAGCGUCACGACACGGAGAGCCCCACGGACAGAGGCUUUGGUUUUGUGAAAAAAGACUGCUGCCUAGGAGAUCGCCUACAUUACCGCCGGCGUGUCCACAACCGCCGUGGUGACGGGCAACACAAUAAACAGUGCUCCACGGCACACUGGCUGUAUUAAUCCUCUGGCGGUGGGGGGGAGGUUAAAAGCCAGACAUCAGAAGACCAAACAAGUCCAAACCCCCCUGCAGAUUUCACCUCAGGAAACGGGAUCAGACACAUCAUCACCAUCAUCAUCAUCACGUCGGCCGGGCCCAUACCAGAGACAGGCCUCACUGUUGUGCAGCAUGCAGCCCAGCCAGACAGUAGCCAGACAAAUAUGACUACAUACCAGUGGAAUAACAAGGGGUUUGGGGUUGGGGUGAGCCCAGGGUUAGCAAGGGGGUGUUGGGAUGAAUGGGAGAAUGAACUGUGAACAUUUCCUGUGGCCGUUGAAAAUAGUAACUCUGUCUUCGCCUCUUCUAGGAAGUCUCUAAGUCCCUCUGAGCAGUUCAAAGUCUUGCUAUGAUCAAAUCCAGGCAUUGCCUGCACUUACUUACUUUCCAGUCAAUUUUUGUUUUGUCUAAUUUAUGUAAAUUCAAAGUUGAUGCCAUAAUAACAGUAGGAGUGGCUAUAGGGUCUCCAAUUAUUUUCAGAUUGGUCUUUACCGAACUUAAGCGCCAAGCACAAGCACGACGUGUCGAUGAGCCCCCCUCCAAAAGACCCACGUACUCACUUCUUCACCAUCUUGAGGCGGUGGAUCUCGUCACAGAUGGACUUGAGGUAGCGCUGUUUGGGCAGGCGGGACAACAGAUGGCUGACGCUGAUGUUGAACUGCUCCUCGCUCUCGAACUGAGAAGAGAAAGGGAUGUGAGCAGACGACCUGGAGGUGGAGGGCUCCAUCCCCCCCUGGAAGCACCCUGGAGAAGUGGCCUAUCCUCGAGCUGCUCCUGAGCAGAAGGCCUGUGUCUCAACACGCAUACACUGGUAAAAAAUAGCUUAGAAUUACUCAAUUAAUGAAUAAACAUGACAGAAAUCGUCUAAAUAGAGAGUACAAUUUGUAGUGGGGUCCAUUUUUACAUUUUCGGAAGUCCAGUCUCCAUAUGUUCUUUCCAAAAUGUCUCUAGAUCCGAUAUUGUUUCGCUCUAUUCCAUAAAUAUAUUAGAUAUAUAUUUCUCCGCUCCCAAGCAGCUGACAAGACUUCUUCUCUUCUAAAAGCAGGCUUUUCCUGUCCGACCUGGCUACAUAGGGUAUUGUCACGUGUCUUUUAUAUGCAUAUACAUUUAUAUAAAUAAUACACCAGAGGUACAGCUAAUUCAACGCCUUCGUUCUCACACAGUUAUGUCAUGGAAAAACGUAAUCUGUCUUUGUGUUUGUCACCGUUUAACGGCCCCCGGCUCCAUCCGCCUUUCUUAAUAAGUCUCUCCGAUGGAAAGCAGCAGUAUAGCGGGUGUUGUUCAGCUCAGGAUUUUGGAAUGUGAACAUUAACACCUAUUCAGGGCGUGGUGUUCAGACUGGCCGCUUUUUUAACUGGCCUGUGCAACAUGUUGCCUGGGGCCGUCUGUCUGUCUGUCUGUCUGUCUGUCUGCGUGCGUGCGUCGGGAGGAUAUAGCAGGACUCUUUGGGAGGAAACAGGGCCGUUUAUGUCUGCCGUCGGACCGAGAGGUGUUCCCCAAACUCCCCCUCAACAGCCCUGGGAACGUACUGUACAUUUUGCAACCCGGGAUUCCCUCUUCCCGUGGAGAGCGAGAGAGGGAAUCCCAUUGUGUUCCUUCCUUGUCCCUCCACCCCUUCCUUCAUUGACUGCACCGCAGGGGGAAAACCAACCUCCAGAGCCAGGAAGUUGAUGAGCGUUUCCUUCUGCAGGUCCACCUGUGGUCGUAAACACAGGAGAACAAUGAGGGAGACGGACACAAGCGGAGCACGGCCCAGCGUUAUCGCAAUGCUGCAUUGCAUUCCAUCGACGGAGCGGAAAACACACCACCAACACUGUGCUUUCUGCAGGAAGUUUGUUAGCGAUGCCCUCCUGGAGAUAAGCUGCUACUGCUGCAAAGAGCAAACAACCAGUAGCUUACCGCACGCACGCACACACUGUACCAUCAGAACAUUCUGUUCCUUCAUAAAGUAAGAAAUGUGGAGACUAAAGCCAGGGAUAUACUUCAAACGACAGGGGGAUGAGCUUGAAAAAUAUGUUUUUGGAUGAAAAUGGGCCACAGUUGGCCAACAAACUCAAGUGAAACAUUUCUAGGGUCGAGGCCAGGGAAUGAGGUGAGCUGGUGGAGGCACAGAAAGCAAGGAUGAGCACUGGUUGUUCAUUAUAUCAUUCAUACAAUGUGCUGAAAAUGACAUGAAUAUCUAUGUUUAACCAUUCACAAGAACAAUUUGUCAAAUUAAGUAUUCUUGGGAUGAGUAAAAAGUUCACCCGCUUUCACCUCGAUAUUUCAGAAAGCUGAAGUAUUGAAGGCUUGAACCCAAGACAAUAUUAAAACUUAUUUUUCAAUGUAUUUUGUUCCCAACGGAACCAAUUACAACAGAAAUUUGACUUCAGACGAAAACGCCAGCAGCCACAAUUUAUAUAAAUGAUGUCUCUGUGCUGGGAAAGCCAAUGUUAUGGUGUUCAACUGUUUUUCCAAUAUAGUUGUGAACCAUAUAUAGUUUUGUAUUGUUUAUGUUUGAUUAAUCUGUAUUACUAAGCCAACGAUGCCAUCUCUAACGGGCAUGGAUAAUUUAAUGGGAAAAUAAGACAGCGUAUUUUCCCCAAGAAUAUUUUACUGCAAAUCGACCAUGAAACUAUAAAUAAACAGAUAUAUUCGUUACAGGCAGUGAAAGAAGAAUAACUAUCAAAGAUUUAUGCUGUUCAUUCUCUGCGAUUUCACAUAUGCAUUCUAGA